GACGAACGCUGGCGGCGUGCUUAACACAUGCAAGUCGAACGAAGUGGCGAACGGGUGAGUAACGCGUAAUCAACCUGCCCUUCAGAGGGGGACACCAGUUGGAAACGACUGCUAAUACGGCAUACUGAAGGAGGGGUUUGCGUCGGAUUAGCUAGUUGGAGGGGUAACGGCCCACCAAGGCGAUGGUCAGGCGCCGGUCUGAGAGGAUGGACGGUCAAAUUGGGACUGAGAAACGGCCCAGAAUCCUACGGGGGGCAGGAGGGGGGAAUCUUCCGAAAUGGACGAAAGUCUGAGGGCGCAACGCCGGGGGAGUGAUGACGGCCUUCGGGUUGGAAAGGUCUGUUAAGCGGGACGCGGUACCGGAAGAGAAAGCCACGGCUAACUACGUGCCAGCAGCCGCGGUAAUAC
rnacentral:rRNA from 1 species